AUACGGGUUGACUUGAGGAAGGUAGGGGAGAAUGGAAUUCCUGGUGGAGCGGUGGAAUGCGCAGAUAUCAGGAGGAACACCAGUGGCGAAGGCGGUUCUCUGGACCUUUCCUGACGCUGAGGAGCGAAAGCGUGGGGAGCGAACAGGCUUAGAUACCCUGGUAGUCCACGCUGUAAACGGUGGGUACUAGGUGUGGGGUCCAUUCCACGGAUUCUGUGCCGUAGCUAACGCAUUAAGUACCCCGCCUGGGGAGUACGGCCGCAAGGCUAAAACUCAAAGGAAUUGACGGGGCCCCGCACAAGCGGCGGAGCAUGCGGAUUAAUUCGAUGCAACGCGAAGAACCUUACCUGGGUUUGACAUGGAUCGGGAGCUUCCAGAGAUGGUUGUGCCUCUUUUGGGGUCGGUUCACAGGUGGUGCAUGGCUGUCGUCAGCUCGUGUCGUGAGAUGUUGGGUUAAGUCCCGCAACGAGCGCAACCCUCGUCCACUGUUGCCAGCAAUUCGGUUGGGGACUCAGUGGAGACCGCCGGGGUCAACUCGGAGGAAGGUGGGGAUGACGUCAAGUCAUCAUGCCCC
rnacentral:rRNA from 1 species